AUACGUAGGUGACAAGCGUUAUCCGGAUUUACUGGGUGUAAAGGGCGUGUAGACGGUUUGGCAAGUCAGAAGUGAAAUUCCCGGGCUUAACUUGGGCGCUGCUUCUGAAACUGCUUAACUUGAGUGCUGGAGAGGAUAGUGGAAUUCCUAGUGUAGCGGUAAAAUGCGCAGAUAUUAGGAGGAACACCGGUGGCGAAGGCGGCUAUCUGGACAGUAACUGACGCUGAGGCGCGAAAGCACGGGGAGCAAACAGGAUUAGAUACCCUGGUAGUCCGUGCCGUAAACGAUGAAUGCUAGGUGUAGGGGGUAUCGACUCCCUCUGUGCCGCAGUUAACACAUUAAGUAUUCCACCUGGGGAGUACGGCCGCAAGGUUGAAACUCAAAUGAAUUGACGGGG
rnacentral:rRNA from 1 species